UAGCCACUGCUUUGCCUGCAAAUUAGUGGAACUUGUUGAUGAUAACACAUAACUACACAUAACUAACCUAAAGAUUAAAAGGAACUUUAUUGCAUUGAACCAAUGCUGCUACUGUUGUGAACUCCACCACACCAACUAAAAUAAUGGUUUUUUUCUCUAACAGAAGGGCAAUUUUACGCGGACUCAAGAAGCCACCAGCACAAGGGAUCAUUGGAUACAAAUACACUGAGGACAUGACACUUUUAUCACCAUCCUUCUUAUUUAAUUAUCUAAAAUUUAAGCUCUGCCUCCUUUUAUAAUUCUUCAAGAAAUAAAUAGAUAUUUACUCCUUCACAUUGUCAUUGUGGCUUUCAAUUAUAGUGAGCAAUCUCAUAACUUCUUUUCAAGUUUUUCCUUUGAAAUUUAAAGAAUAUUCUAAGUUUAGUCUUCAAAAUUAUAGCUCCAAUUCAAUAUUGUCCUCAAGCCUUAUAAAAUGAAAAAUAGAGUCCUUCAAUAUUUGGAUUUUAUUAAUAAGUCCAAUUGUCAACUAUAAUUUUGAUCCUUGACAGUAGACACCAAUUAUUGGCUGUCUGCCAAAAUCUGAAAGUGCCACACUAG
rnacentral:misc_RNA from 1 species